UCAGCUGUCUACACUCUAGAAAAGGUCAAUAUUGCCUUCACAAAGAUAAUCAGUAUAUAAAAAAGAAAGAAAAAAAAAACAAGAAAUAUGUAUCUUAUACUUUGCUUCAAUUGAAACAUAGUAAUAAUAUCACAACCUUUUAAUUUAUAAUAAAAUUAACACCCCAAUUUUUCUGGGCAUCACAAAUUUGAGAUGCCGAGCGUAAUACUUUUUUGGCUAAGCUUAUAAGUUACUUAAAACAACAACGCGUGAGCGUAUAAACCAAACAAAGGAAAAAGAAACACGAAACCUGGGUAAUUUUCUUGCAGAAAGACGUAGUUAUGGUGCUGCUGGUCGCGAUAUUCUUCUUGACCCGGUCUGAUCUUGUGCCACAGCAGCCAGUGUAGCACUCAAAGUCCGAGUGCAGCAAUAACCGUUAUACCCAGUUCAACGCAUAUAGGGUUGAGACCGGGUUCUUUCAACAUGCUAAAUGCGCAAAAUCCAUAAUAUGAAUGGUAAAGAUCUGGCAACAACCGCGGGAAUUUACUGAAACCACCGUACUGGCACAAGAGAGGAUCCGCGGUCAAGAUAUUACUUCCGGAUAUAAAUAACAUUUUUCAUACAAAUGAGAAACUACAUGAAGAAAACCAGAGAACCCGAGAGGUGAUAGAGUCAAGAUGUAACCAUAUUGCACAGAUUCGUUUAUCAGUAACAAUGUCAAAAUGAUGUAACCAUGUCUAUGAUAAAUGCAGUCCAAGUAUUCAAGAAUAAACAUUUGUGAAUAAUGUACUAUUUUUGCAUGUAGUUAUCUCUAUGGAGUUUCAUGGUUUUGAGAAAUAUGAAAGCCGAGUUACGGGAAACAAUUGAAAUAGGGAUCAUGCAUUUCAAAUUUUCCAACUAUAGACACCAAAGGAAAGGAGAAAAGCNAGUAACAAAAGUGAUAAAGUAUGAGAGAGAAUGUAAUAAUUAUUACCCAAAAUAGAAACGUGUCAAGAUUCGUGGGACGGAGUGAGUAUUCACUAUGUUCAUCUUUUCUUGUUUAUCAAGUCUAUAUUAUUUGGACACAUUUUACUUUGUUUGGCACUAAUAUAAACAUGAUGUCGAUAUGAUAAAAACAUGAUACUGAGUACUCGAAAUGUGUUGAAUUUACAAACUUGAUUCAAAUAGAAAAAAAAUACUCUAUCCGUCCAUAAAAAAUAGUCAACUUUUGUUAUUUUGAGACAUUCACAUAAAUUAAUCCAGUUCUAUUUUUAAAAGCUUUCUAUCAUAUAAUGUGUCAUACUACUUUUAAGUGAAAUCCUUCCUUCACCCACAAUACGCUAAUCAUUUUUAUUAAAAUUCGUAUUGUCUCUUUAUAGGACUAUUUUUUGUGGACAGACAAAGUAUAUUGUAAGAACUGUGAAAAUUCUUGCAGUGGACAAUAAAGUAACUACACUAAACUCUACACUCAAUAAAUAUAAAAAAUUACUUAUAAAUUCAAUGCAAAUUAUAAGCUUAGUGCAAAGGUUAUUAUAAUUCUAACAAUAAAAAGUUUUUAUUUGGAUCCUUUCAUAUGUAUAUAUAUUGGAUUGGAGAAAAGUGGAGUUGGAACUUUUAUCAUCAACUUGUUAUAUGCAACUCCUUUGAGAUGCAAUAGUUACAUACAAGUCAAAGGAGUAUCCAAAUAAAAAUGAAAUUUUAAUGAUUGAUUUAGUAUAAAUAAGACAAUCGCUUUUGAAAGAAUAAUUUAUUUGAAGAAAUAUGCCUUUACUUUUACAGGUAUGCAAAGAAAAGAAUCAACCAGGUGUGAUGAAAUAUACCUCAGCUGUCUACACUCUAGAAAAGGUCAAUAUUGCCUUCAACAAAGAUAAUCAGUAUAAUAAAAAAAGAAAAAAAAAACAAGAAAUAUGUAUCUUAUACUUUGCUUCAAUUGAAACAUAGUAAUAAUAUCACAACCUUUUAAUUUAUAAUAAAAUUAACACCCCAAUUUUUCUGGGCAUCACAAAUUUGAGAUGCCGAGCGUAAUACUUUUUUGGCUAAGCUUAUAAGUUACUUAAAACAACAACGCGUGAGCGUAUAAACCAAACAAAGGAAAAAGAAACACGAAACCUGGCUAAUUUUCUUGCAGAAAGACGUAGUUAUGGUGUUGUUGGUGCUGGUCGCGAUAUUCUUCUUGACCCGGUCUGAUCUUGUGCCACAGCAGCCGGUGUAGCACUCAAAGUCCGAGUGCAGCAAUAACCGUUAUACCCAGCUCAACGCAUAUAGGGUUGAGACCGGGUUCUUUCAACAUGCUAAAUGCGCAAAAUCCAUAAUAGGAGUGGUAAAGAUCUGGCAACAACCGCGGGAAUUUACUGAAACCACCAUACU
rnacentral:lncRNA from 1 species